rnacentral:lncRNA from 1 species
AUCAUCCACCGACUCCUCUACACAUCAAGGUUCAAGGCCUCACAAGUGCACAUCAAAAUAAUUUUACAAGUGCACAAAAGAAUACUUCUGCAAGUACAAGUGCACAGAAAGAGGACCCAACAAGUGCACAAUCGCACAUCAGGAGAGUUCUUCUCAUCCUCUUCCUCUGCACAAUCUGCCACUCCUACCAUUGUCGCCUGCAAGAAGAAAAUGAUGGC